GAACUACCAUCCUAAACCCAAAAAACAACACUUUAUGUGUCAAGAUAUAUUGUCAUUAAGCUCUAAUUUUAUGAAGAACAACACUUUAUAGGUCAAAGCUAAUAAUAAAUUGAAAAGAAAAAAAAAAUAGUUAGUUUUGGGCCAAAGCCCAUUACAAACCAGCACAAAUAAUCCGAAACAGUAGUUUGCCGUUAAUAAAAACAGAGUGGAAGAGCAAAGGACAGAGGAGACAAAUCACGCCAUAGAUCGGAGCAAGAUUCUUGGAUCUGCCUCUUAAGACCAAUCGGUGCUUUCGCGUGUCCUCAGUGACUGUAUAAACUUUAAUCCCAGAGACAAAAUCGAGUGGUGUAAAAAUGGAGGAUAGAGAGAAUGCGAAGAGAGAGUGUUUGUAACUGUAGGAACAACGAGUUUCGAUGCGCUUGUGAAAGCAGUGGUUAGUGAAGAUGUUAAAGACGAAUUGCAGAAAAGAGGAUUUACUCAUCUUCUCAUUCAAAUGGGUCGAGGAAACUUUUUCCCAACUAAGUGUGAUGGAGCAGAUGGAUCAUUAGUUGUGGAUUACUUCACAUUUUCCUCGAGUAUCGCUGAUUAUAUUCGGUUUGCAUCUCUUGCUAUU